AUCCAGUUGAAGAGUCCCAAAUAGGACGGAACGUGCGUUCUGGAU
rfam:Schistosoma margrebowiei strain Zambia genome assembly, scaffold: SMRZ_contig0002070